rnacentral:rRNA from 1 species
UACGGAGGAUGCAAGCGUUAUCCGGAAUGAUUGGGCGUAAAGGGUCCGCAGGUGGCAAUGUGUGUCUGCUGUCAAAGAAUGAGGCUUAACCUCAUCAAGGCAGUGGAAACUACAUAGCUAGAGUACGGUCGGGGUAGAAGGAAUUCCUGGUGUAGCGGUGAAAUGCGUAGAGAUCAGGAAGAACACCGGUGGCGAAAGCGGCAUCCUGGACCGAUACUGACGCUGAGGAGCGAAAGCCAGGGGAGCAAACGGG